rnacentral:rRNA from 1 species
CACGUAGGGCGCGAGCGUUGUCCGGAAUUAUUGGGCGUAAAGAGCUCGUAGGCGGCCUGUUGCGUCCGCUGUGAAAGCCCGGGGCUUAACCCCGGGUCGGCAGUGGAUACGGGCAGGCUAGAGGUAGGUAGGGGAGAAUGGAAUUCCCGGUGUAGCGGUGAAAUGCGCAGAUAUCGGGAGGAACACCGGUGGCGAAGGCGGUUCUCUGGGCCUUACCUGACGCUGAGGGGCGAAAGCGUGGGGAGCGAACAGG